rnacentral:misc_RNA from 1 species
AAGUCGUAACAAGGUAACCGUAGGUGAACCUGCGGUUGGAUCAUUAACAAAUUUAAUGGCCACUGAAUAGGCUUGCCUUUCAGUGAUCUCAACAUUAUGUGAACUCUUUACUUUAUCUUGGUGAGGUGGUUAUUGUUCGCAAUAACAGAUCUCACCAAAAUUAAACUUAUAAAUUUUAAAUUUUGUCUUGAAUUAAAUUAUAUACUAAUUUUAAACAACUUUUGACAACGGAUCUCUAGGCUCUC